GCAACCCGAAUGGGGAGGCUGAUGUGGAAGCCUCAAACCCACCUCUCCCCUUCACUGCACCUGAAAGCUUGGGGGAACUCCAACAGUCUGGGUGGAGAUAUCCAGAGUCCUCCAGACAUGCAGAGAGGCCGAUGAGGGCACCCCAGAUCUGCCCAGCUCCUCCUCUGCACACAGAUGGCCAGGCGCGGCAGCAAAACAGGCUGGGCUAGGCUGAUAGUGUGGGCCCGCCCACCGGUCGGGAGCUCAGCAGUUCUCCAAGUGUAACCGGAAUGGGGAGGCUGAUGUGGAAGCCUCAAACCCACCUCUCCCCUUCACUGCACCUGGAAGCUUGGGGGAACUCCAACAGUCUGGGUGGAGAUAUCCAGAGUCCUCCAGACAUGCAGAGAGGCCAAUGAGGGCACCCCAGAUCUGCCCAGCUUCUCCUCUGCACACCGAUGGCCAGUUGCGGCAGCAAAACCUGGAAUUCUAAUAGGCUUUUCAUGAUAAGCACUGUGGCAGAGCUGCAUCUACAAUGAAACAAACAGGAUUUAAAAAUUCCUUUAAAAGAGCAUUGCACACGGCUCAGCUCCCCUGCUGAAACGAAGGUAAAGAUGUACAUCGUUAGGCACACAGCACCAAGUCCCAGGCAAUGAUCCCUCCUGGUCCCCAGCAGGUCUUUUUCCAAGUGUUACAUCCAUGGCGGCUCCUGGAAGACACUGGGCUGUGGCCAGCCGAAUGCGUCCACUCUAUCUAAAGACACAGCUGAAGGGCGUCCUCAAGUACAUUAAGAUUAUGAACAGGGGACCGAGUGCUUCCAUGGAGACUAACUGGGGAGUGUGACUCCAAGCAGACUUGGUCCAGACAGAUGGCGGUGCUCGAUCUUGGCUGUUCACCCCAGUCCUGAUUUCUUGGUCUGGAUCGGGGCUUGGGAACCAGAGCACAUCUCUCCGGCUUUGUCAUUCACCUUGCUACUGUAACUUGCUCUGCACAGUCGAUGUGGAACUCUGGAAUACUGGAGGGGCAUAAAGCACCUUGUUUUCAAGGAGGAUUAACAGCAGCAUGUAAAAAGCAUGUGAGCGAGUUCUCCUUAGUGUUCAGCUGAGGGUCCUGCUGUGCCCCCCUUGUGAUAUCUAUGUGCUACAUGAAUGACGGACCCAUCACACCACAAUGUUUGGCUGCUAGUUGAACACAAGCACUGUGACCCCUCAGCAGUCGGUCCAAAAUCCAAGAUGACUCAGGCACUGAAGGAAGGCACUCCCAGGACUGAAUGGAGGUCGCUGGGCAUGGCCCAGUCAGAUCCAUGGGACCUUGCAUGUAUCCUCUGGUGAUUAGGACACUGAGUGGGGUCUACCCACUGGCAGUGAUGCUCCAAAGCUUCUGCUGUGUGCGCUGGAAAUCAUCUUGCACACCUUCAGCUCCCAGGACUCCACAUGUUACUUUCAAAGGAGGAAAAAUAAGUACAAUAACAUCAGAAAAUAAUUGAAUAACAUUUUUGAAAUUCUGAAAGAAAGUGAUGCCCCUCUGCUAUGCUACCCAGCCUUGGAGUCAGUUGACUAUGGACUGAACCUCUACAAACUGACUCAUUGGUACACUUUCUCCUUCGGCCCUUUCACUACAUCAUGGCCUGGGAACCCAUUAACAAGCAAGACAAAGAAAGAAAAGAAAAUGAAAAAGAAGAAAAGAAGGAAAGAAAAGAAAAAGGAAGAACUUAAAAAUGUACAUUCAAUGGAAUCAGUACACAAGUCUUUAAAAAUAUCAAAAUAACUUUUUGGAAUGCACUAAAUCAAAAACAGAGACAAAACUGUACCACAAUCUUAACAAUAUAUUAAUUUCAUUACUAUAUAUAUCAAAAUAAGACCUUUGUGCUUUUUGUCCAAUCUUACUGCAUUUCCAGAGAUAAAACAACAUGGGAAACAUAAAUGGUCCAUUCUGUGCCAGCAGCCAAUCGAUUCUGCAGCACAUUUCAGCUCUGGGUCACCUGAUUAAAUCCUGACACCAUCUACUUGGAAAUGCCAUCAGCUCCCACAGAUUGAAGAGUUGGUCCCACAGGCUGCCCCAAAAGGACUCAAGGAUACAUACUUAUCAGUUUAUCAUCAAGGCUACUGCAAAGGCUACAGAUGAAGAGGCUACAGAUGCAGGGUGCCUACAUCGACCUGUGAGCUACCUAGAGGCUGUCAACUAUCAGUCAGCUCAAUAAGAUAUGAAAACAAGCAAAAACACUCUUCAUUGUAAACAUUUGAAGGCUUUCAGAAGUUGCACACCAGGAAACGAGGUGGGGACCAAAUAUAUG